CGGGCUGUAGCGCAGUCUGGCUAGCGCGCUUCGUUCGGGACGAAGAGGCCGGAGGUUCGAAUCCUCUCAGCCCGACCA
rnacentral:tRNA from 1 species